rnacentral:lncRNA from 1 species
AUGAACAGAGCUAGUAGCCACUUGGAAAGGUGACCAACUGAGUAACUGGGGGUGGGUAUCACAAAUAUGUACCUUCACGUCAAAAGGUUGGUGACUUGUUCAAGCAAAAUUAAAAGUGCAAAAAGCUGAAUAAAGCACUUCAAGGUAAGGGCAAGUCACUCCAAGGGCUAGAAAAAGUCUUAACAAAUAAUGUGCAUGUAUGGUCUCUCUUGAGGAAAAUAGAUCCUAGCCAUGGUAAGCAAAGGGAAACAAGGAAAGGGAGUGAGUAAUCUUCAUGCAUAUAUUCUUCACUGCAAUGAUUCAAAAUAGGUGUCUAGAGUAAGAGAUUAAGUGGAAAUAAGGAUCUAGAGUGAGAAAGCUUGUUUGACUAUGUUUAUUUGCUUGAGGACAAGCAAAAGGGUAAGUGUGGGGGUAUUUGAUAGAGCAUAAUUUAGUCCAUUUUAUAUUAAUAUUAUUGAUAAAUAUUUACAUGAUUUCUGCUUAAUUUAGUGCUUUUAAUAUUAUUUUGCAGAAAAUGGUGUAAAAUGACAUUUUGGAGAAAAUCCCCCUAAAACUGCCUUGUUUGGAGCUAAAGAGAGCAAGCCCGCACAUGGAUCCACAAUUGAAUGGCCCACUCCCGCAAAAUUCCCGCACACAGCCCAUUCACGCAGCAUGAACCCGCGCUCCACAUUCCCGCACAUUCAAACACAUGCACGUGGGCCCGCCUCAACACUCACGCCUCAGCCCAUGCAAGCUCCCCUUGCAAAUGGACCAAAGCAAGGCUCAA